rnacentral:rRNA from 1 species
UACAGAGGUGGCAAGCGUUGUUCGGAAUUACUGGGCGUAAAGCGCGUGUAGGCGGAUCGUUAAGUCGGGGGUGAAAUCCUGGAGCUCAACUCCAGAACUGCCUUUGAUACUGGCGAUCUUGAGUCCGGGAGAGGUGAGUGGAACUCCGAGUGUAGAGGUGAAAUUCGUAGAUAUUCGGAAGAACACCAGUGGCGAAGGCGGCUCACUGGCCCGGUACUGACGCUGAGGUGCGAAAGCGUGGGGAGCAAACAGG